AUAAUAUGCGGUAUAUUGUGAAAUCCUUCUCCCUCACACACGUUCAUUCUUCACUCUCCAGUCUCGACGAACUCCGAUCUCACUCACCGCUUCCCCUAUCGACGGCCUCACUAAUCCACGACUUCUCAACCACCACGACAUCUUCCUCAAUCGACGGCCUUCUCUUACGUCAAGUCACCUUCGUCACCACUCUCAACCUCUCCGAUGACUCCUCCGACACUUCCCAAACCCUCAUAUCGCCACCAUCACCACCAUCUCAAACCCAGAAACCACCAUCUCAGAACCAAUAAACCACCUACUACCGAACCACCAUCUUCUCACCACAUCUUGACUGAACCCAGACGAAUCCUCCAUUGUUAAACCCUAAAUCCUAAAUUGAAGGAAUAUUGUUUCCAUUGUUGAAGGCUUGAAGGUAAAUAUUUCCCCUCUCUUUAUUUUAUUGUUGUUGAUUCCUUUUACAUUUUGGAUUUUUCUAUUGUAUGAUCUUUAAAUUCCUUGUCAAUUUGGAUUGUAUCAAAUGUAAUAUUUUCUGUGUGAUCAUUUUUAAUUCUUUGUCAGUUUGGAUUGUGUAAAUUGGAUGGAUAGUGAACAAAUAGAUUAUCUUGCGUCUGAUUAAUAUUGUCUGGAAAUAAUUUGGAUUGUGUCUGAUUGUGUAAAUUGGAUGGAUAGUGAACAAAUAAAUUGUGCAAUUCCUUGUCAGUUGCAGUCCCUUUGUAAUGCAAUGCAUAUUCAACUUGACUGUAAUGAAGUUCCUUGUCAAUUGAACUUCAAAAUUUAAGUGUAUGUAAAUUGGUAAGAGUCCAAAAAUUACAUAGCCACGCGAGCGGAUAUUGCGGGAUAAGCUUAUGAUUAGUGUCAUAUUUUGUUUGUCCUAACUUUCUUACUCAAUUGGAAAAUGAAAAAUAAUAGACCAAACUAUAGUUUCAUAUUUUUCAAAUUUACCUAUCAUAGACUAUGUACUAUUAUUCACCAUUGCGUGUGUAUGUAGCAUUUCUGCUACUUAUUGUUACCUUUUUUUUUUACCACAUAGUCUUCUUGUAUUCUUGACACUUGAACUUGUAGAGUUAUUGUUGUAAUUAAUUGGAAAUGCCAUCAUUCUUGUACAUACUCAUUGCACAUAUGGAUUGUGGUCAGUAACUUCCUUUACUCCUCCUCCUAUUUAUUCAUUUUUACUUUUUAAGACCGUUUAGAAUUUUAUCUUCUUCAUUAUUAAUCCCUUGAUGUUCUUCAGGUGGACUAUACUGCCGUGUUUGUUUUCCGGCUCUUGAUGUUUGUCGAUGAUGGGUUUGCUGCAGGAAUGGGUUUGUAAGCCCUUCCAUUCAUUCACUUUUUAUAUAUUUAGCUGGUUUUCUUCAUUAUUACUAUGGUAGAUGAGAUGUGGUGUUUCAUUGUUCUAAUGUGUUUCUUUUAAUCUAUGUAAUUGAAGUUAAGCUAUAUCUAAAUGUACAAACCUGCACUUUAUAACUUUAGCAUGAACAAAAUUUUCUGAGGCCUCUUCUAGCUUAACCAAGGUCGUGGGUUCGAUCCCUAGCUUGGGCUUGCAGCAACAUUAAAACUCUUAGGGAUUUUUUGUGUUGCAUCAUAGAAACCAAGUCAAAAUGUUUUAAUUUCUCAAUUCUCGGUACUAAUUAAUCUGCACGUUGUUUCCCUUCUUAUAUGCUUCUAGAGAUUUUGGGUGGCAGCAGAGAUAUGCUCGUUUCUAUGGAAGAGUAGUUGUCAUUUCAAUCCUUGCAUUGCUUCUUUAUCCAUUUCUUUGGUCCUGGACUAUAGUUGGUACCAUGUGGUUCAGCAGUGCCAAGAGUCGUUUGCCUGAAUAGGGGCAGAAAUGGGGAUUCCUUAUCUGGUUACUUUUUAGCUACUGUGGACUUCUUUGCAUUGCUUGCAUGUCAAUGGGGAUGUGGUUGACUCGACGACAAGCACACUAAGUGCGUGCCCAACAGGGUAUCCCUGUGUCUGAAUAUGGGGGACUUCUUAAAAACGUGAAAGAUGGUUGCUUGGUUUGGCAAUUGGCGGAGGAUUUGCUUAGGUUAAUUAGUUUGUCUUGUUAUAAUUAGUGUCAUGAACAUCAUCUAGUGAGUUAGGAUAAUUAGUUUGUUUUUGUCUUGGACACAAAGUUGUCUUGCUUCUUUGUAUGUUUUGUGAAGGAUGGGAGACUCAUGUAACUUGAUGAUACUUAUUGGCCUUCUUUGUACCUUUUUAUAUCUUUAUCAAUAUAAAUUUUGUCUUUUGUAUUA